CAAAUUAAAAAAGCAAAAGACUUCCUUUCCUUUUGCUGACAGCAUAGCCAAAAGUGUCUCUUGUCCCAGGUUCCAGGAAAGGAAGAGACACUUUGGUCACUCAACAGCCUGACAGAUUGCCAAGCACUAGGGGGCCACAUGGAACAAGCUUCGCAGUCACAUGGCAGAUUCAGAAUCCACCCUUCUCCAGGAUGCUAUGCCCUGGGAAGCUAAUCUUCAAGGAGUAUGGCAAUGAUUCCCUUGGCCCUUUGUCUUCCAGUUGGGACCAUCCAAUGAAGAACCCCAACAAAAAUCAGAGGAAGAAAAGAGAAUGCAGUCAAGGUGUUCACUCUCUUUUUGAGGAAUCACAAGAAAAUAUGUGGCUGCAUCUCUAUGAAGGAUACAGCUCCUGCCAGGCCUCUCUAGACAGCUCUCUCUCUGGGAACAAACAGCCUGUGUCAGGCACAGGGUUGGUAAUAGGUGCACUGUUCCUUCUGCAGGAUAUUAUACCCUCCCUGCUGUAUCCUGAAACCUUGCCCACAGAGUCGUAAACAAAUCUUUUAUUAAAUUCUCCUCAAUUACCCAG